rnacentral:rRNA from 1 species
CUUUCUUUGCUGGCGACCGGCGCACGGGUGAGUAACACGUAUCCAACCUGCCCUUUACUCGGGGAUAGCCUUUCGAAAGAAAGAUUAAUACCCGAUAGCAUAAUGAUUCCGCAUGGUUUCAUUAUUAAAGGAUUCCGGUAAAGGAUGGGGAUGCGUUCCAUUAGGUUGUUGGUGAGGUAACGGCCCACCAAGCCUUCGAUGGAUGGGGGUUCUGAGAGGAAGGUCCCCCACAUUGGAACUGAGACACGGUCCAA